UACGGAGGGUGCGAGCGUUGUCCGGAAUCACUGGGCGUAAAGGGCGCGUAGGCGGCUUCUUAAGCGUGCGGUGAAAGCCCGGGGCUCAACCCCGGGUCGGCCGUGCGAACUGGGAGGCUCGAGCACUGUAGAGGCAGGUGGAAUUCCGGGUGUAGCGGUGGAAUGCGUAGAGAUCCGGAAGAACACCGGUGGCGAAGGCGGCCUGCUGGGCAGUGGCUGACGCUGAGGCGCGACAGCGUGGGGAGCAAACAGG
rnacentral:rRNA from 1 species